GAUGAACGCUAGCGGCAGGCCUAACACAUGCAAGUCGAGGGGUAACUAGAGUGAUAGCAAUAUUACUUUGGCUAGACCGGCGCACGGGUGCGUAACACGUAUGCAACCUACCUUAUACUGGGGACUAACUUCGAGAAAUCGGCGCUAAUACCCCAUAACAUUGCUAAGAGGCAUCUCUUUGCAAUUAAAGCUCCGGCGGUAUAAGAUGGGCAUGCGUCCAAUUAGCUAGUUGGUGAGGUAACGGCUCACCAAGGCUACGAUUGGUAGGGGUUCUGAGAGGAUGAUCCCCCACACUGGUACUGAGACACGGACCAGACUCCUACGGGAGGCAGCAGUGAGGAAUAUUGCGCAAUGGACGAAAGUCUGACGCAGCCAUGCCGCGUGCAGGAUGACGGCCCUAUGGGUUGUAAACUGCUUUUGUACGGGAAUAAACCCUUCUACGUGUAGGAGGCUGAAGGUACCGUAAGAAUAAGCACCGGCUAACUCCGUGCCAGCAGCCGCCGCAGUAA
rnacentral:rRNA from 1 species